UAUUGCGCAAUGGACGAAAGUCUGACGCAGCGACGCCGCGUGGGGGAUGAAGGUCUUCGGAUUGUAAACCCCUUUCGGCAGGGAAGAUGGAACGGGUAACCGUUCGGACGGUACCUGCAGAAGCAGCCACGGCUAACUUCGUGCCAGCAGCCGCGGUAAUACGAAGGUGGCAAGCGUUGUUCGGAUUCACUGGGCGUACAGGGAGCGUAGGCGGUUGGGUAAGCCCUCCGUGAAAUCUCCGGGCCUAACCCGGAAAGUGCAGAGGGGACUGCUCGGCUAGAGGAUGGGAGAGGAGCGCGGAAUUCCCGGUGUAGCGGUGAAAUGCGUAGAGAUCGGGAGGAAGGCCGGGGCGAAGGCGGCGCUCUGGAACAUUCUGACGCUGAGGCCGAA
rnacentral:rRNA from 1 species